GCGUGAACGACUUAUUCAACCAAAUAAUCAAGCAAACUUGUUCUAAAUCUUUCAAUUUACGGUAGUAUUUGUUUGUCUUACGCCACAAUAUGGUGCAGGACAGAAAAUCGCUUCCUGCAAGCUAACUUCAGUGUCCACAACAUGGAAACUUCUCUGCUGUAUUUAUUGGUUGGAUAUUCGGUUUCUAAAGUUAUCGUUUCAGCCUUAAUGUUCGAAAUUGUUUACUCGAUUGUGGAAAAAGGUUAUGUGUAACGAACUCCGGUCUAGUGUUCACCAUAGACACUGGGUAUAUUAAACUUAAUGCUAAGAUCUGUGGCCCUAUCGAAGUCGAUUUAGCCUGCACGUGGCUGAAUCGGUCAAUCUGGUGCCUACAGUAAAAUCUUUUACCGACGGUCGCUGUUUAGCUUUGAUGUAGCUUUCCAGCAACACCAAAGGAAAAGGACAACACUUAAAUUAGCAUCGUAAGCUAAUCGCUUUAGCCGUUUGCCCUGCCCUUAUUCAACAUGUUUCACAGUGCCGUUUUUUCAUUGUUCUAGGUUCAUACACUAUGCUGACCACCAUGGACAUGCUUCUGACUGAGCAGCGCGAAUAUCAGACCUCAUGGGAUGUCCCCUAAAGGAUGAUUAUGCGCCUAAUCUUCACAAGGUUGAAUGUCUCGAAGACUACAUUGCUGCAUCCCUGGCAGAUGUCAUGAGGCGAGCAUGUUUCCACUGAAAGGGUGUGCGGCUUGCCAUGCAGGAGCAGUUUUUGAAUACAAGGGUAUUGGUGUGAAGUGUUCUCUCAGUAUUGCAGAGUGUGCUGUACAGCAAUCAAGGGUGAUGGUAUAAAGGCUGAGUGUUGCAGCAUGUACUGUACAGCAAGCCUCAAGGUAUAUGGGACUGUCCAGAGGGAUGUUGGGUGUGACGGAUACCACUUCCAUCUGAAAUAAAAUGUAUCUGGACUGAA